rnacentral:sRNA from 1 species
GCCAGAUAUGGUGGCGCAUACCUGUAAUCCCAAAAGUUUGGGAGGCUGAGGCAGGAGGAUUGCGAGUUCAAAGCCAGCCUCAGGAACUUAGUGAGACCUUGUCUGUA